UUAGUAGUAAAGCUAUUUGCCUA
rnacentral:siRNA from 1 species